rnacentral:rRNA from 1 species
AUUGAACGCUGGCGGCAGGCCUAACACAUGCAAGUCGAGCGGAGCGGCGGACGGGUGAGUAAUGCCUAGGAAUCUGCCUGGUAGUGGGGGAUAACGUCCGGAAACGGGCGCUAAUACCGCAUAAUAUCAGAUGAGCCUAGGUCGGAUUGGCUAGUUGGUGGGGUAACGGCUCACCUAGGCGACGAUCCCUAGCUGGUCUGAGUGGAUGACCAGCCAGCCUGGAACUGAGACACGGUCCAGACUCCUACGGGAGGAAGCAGUGGGGAAUAUUGCACAAUGGGGGCAAGCCUGAUGCAGCCAUGCCGCGUGUAUGAAGAAGGCCUUCGGGUUGUAAAGUACUUUCAGCGGGGAGGCGUUACCCGCAGAAGAAGCACCGGCUAACUCCGUGCCAGCAGCCGCGGUAAUAC